rnacentral:rRNA from 1 species
UACGGAGGGUGCAAGCGUUAUUCGGAAUUACUGGGCGUAAAGGGUGCGUAGGUGGUUUAGAAAGUUAACUGUGAAAGCCCCGGGCUUAACCUGGGAAGGCCAGUUAAGACUUCUGGACUAGAGUAUGGGAGAGGGUAGUGGAAUUCCCGGUGUAGCGGUGAAAUGCGUAGAGAUCGGGAGGAACACCAGUGGCGAAGGCGGCUACCUGGCCUAAUACUGACACUGAGGCACGAAAGCGUGGGGAGCAAGCAGG